rnacentral:rRNA from 1 species
UACAGAGGUCCCAAGCGUUGUUCGGAUUCAUUGGGCGUAAAGGGUGCGUAGGCGGUGGGGUAAGUUGGAUGUGAAAUCUUGGGGCUUAACCUCAAAAUUGCAUUCAAUACUGCUCCGCUCGAGUUCUGUAGAGGAGAUUGGAAUUUACGGUGUAGCAGUGAAAUGCGUAGAUAUCGUAAGGAAGACCAGUGGCGAAGGCGGGUCUCUGGACAGUUCCUGACACUGAGGCACGAAGGCCAGGGGAGCAAACGGG